AUGCUUGCUUUGGCAGCACAUAUACUAAAAUUGGAACGACACAGAGAAGAUUAGCAUGGCCCCUGCACAAGGAUGACACGCAAAUUUGUGAAGUGUUCCAUAUUUUU
ensembl:snRNA U6 U6 spliceosomal RNA